UUUCCUUGUAGUUUUGUUGAGGUGUGUAGCAAGCAACAGCCCAUCCACUGCCACAUACAUAAUAUACAUGGAUAAAUGGGCAAAGCCGCAGGAGUUCAACGACCACGAUCACUGGUAUUCAUCAAUGAUUAAAUCAGCAAUCAACAAAGAAGUCGGCGGCGGGAUAAAUGCAUGAUGGUGGUUAAAACAUGAAUAGAAAAGCAGCGGUGGAAUAAACGCAGGGAGGUUCACGAUGAUACCUCCAGGCUCCACGCACGUCGGCGUUUGAUCUUGAGCUUACGCCGCUGCGACUUCACACUCCGCUGAAACCUUCGAGCCGUUUGGAGUCUCCGCUGUCGGUUCUCGCCUUCGAUACCCGCGGUUCGCUGCGACUCGUUGCUAUCAAGGAUCGGCGAGUAAGCUGCCGUUAACUCGCUAACACUGUCGUCAUCUGGGGUCUCCGCUGUCGUCUCUUGCCUUCGACACACUCACGACCAGCAAUGCUCACCAUAGCUGCUACUCACUGCCAAUAUCGUCCCGACUGCUGCUGUCAUCUAAUGCCGCAAAAGAUGAACCAAGUCGCCGAUUGU
rnacentral:lncRNA from 1 species